AGCGUUUAACAGGUAGGCUGUGUGUGUGCGACAAGGCUCUGCAGGGAAUAUAAAUAUAUUUACAUUUUAGCAUAUGUAAAUCACAGUAAAAGAGGUUAAACUGAAAGUUACUGGGUGAAUACAGUUACCCUCUUAGCACCAGUAGGAGGAGGCAGCUUAACAGUGGCACGUUGUAGAAAACUUGAAGUACAUUCAGUUGACAACAGGCAGAAAUGAGAGAAGGCAGGCUAGACGAGCGAGCGGCCCAUGUGCAGUUCCCUCAUUGGGAUCAUCCUGCUGCUAAACAUGGCCAGCAGGAGGCAGAAGGGGACGGACGGAGUGAAAUCUUCCGAAGGUAAAAGCUAUAGGUAAGGCAUUACUUUACCUGAGAUAUCCUCCAAAAACAACUCUUUUAAAUCAAAGGUAGCAUCUAUUCAUCUAUAUGUGGUAUAUGCCAAUGGAUUCAGUGCUUUUUAAAAGACAAAUUUGGUUUCAGGUUUUUCGAGCUACAAUUAAUUAAGAUGACAUUUGUGAGCGAAAAAUCUACUCAGGCUCAUUGGAAAUACUUUGCCUCUAGCUACAUUUCUGCUGCAGCUUCCAGUUAAAAUGAACACUAGAGGCAGUAAAACUGACAACUUUUAUUAUAUUUACAGGGUUAGAGUUUUGAUUAAGAAAAAGUAGUUUUCGCACAAAUUCCUUGCACAAUAUUGUAUUAUGACUUAAAAUCUAUUUUAACAAGCUGCGAGAUUUGAAAACGGAUACUUUUUAAUAUUAGCACCACGUAUCCAGCUUCGUAUGUUUGGGUUUUCUAACUCCGUAGAUUUGCUUGGUAGCUCACGUGAUAUGGCAUUGCACUUGUGAGGUCAACCGCUCCAAUACGAAUCCUAUGAAACUACUAUGAGUCAAUGAAUGGGUUUUUAUAUCACUUUUGCAUUUGGGUAGGUUUAGGGUUGGGUUUAGUGUAGAGGGGUUUGUUAUUUUCCAACAAAACAGAGCAUUAACCUUACAGCAACACUUCCCGGACAUUUUAAAUCUGAACUGUCGUAAUACG